GUCGUGCGAGAAGUAGGCUUCGGUCUAUGAGUAGAGCGGCGCACGGGUGAGUAACGCGUGGAUGAUCUACCCUUGAGUUCGGGAUAACGGUGCGAAAGCGCCGCUAAUACCGUAUAACAAUCCAUUUCAUCGUGGGUUCAAAGCAGGCCUCUUCGUGAAAGCUUGCGCUUGGGGAUGAGUCCGCGUCCCAUUAGCUUGUUGGCGGGGUAACGGCCCACCAAGGCUACGAUGGGUAGCUGGUCUGAGAGGAUGAUCAGCCACACUGGAACUGAAACACGGUCCAGACUCCUACGGGAGGCAGCAGUGGGGGAUAUUGCGCAAUGGGGGAAACCCUGACGCAGCGACGUCGUGUGAGGGAAGAAGGCCUUCGGGUCGUAAACCUCUGUCAGAAGGGAAGAACAUCCGGGAGUCGAACAGCCUCCCGGCCUGACGGUACCUUCAGAGGAAGCGCCGGCUAACUCCGUGCCAGCAGCCGCGGUAAUACGGAGGGCGCAAGCGUUAAUCGGAAUCACUGGGCGUAAAGCGUGCGUAGGCUGUUUGAUAAGUCAGACGUGAAAUCCCUCGGCUCAACCGGGGAACUGCGUUUGAUACUGUUGAACUAGAGUCCUGGAGAGGGUGGCGGAAUUCCUGGUGUAGGAGUGAAAUCCGUAGAUAUCAGGAGGACACCGGUGGCGAAGCGGCCACUGG
rnacentral:rRNA from 1 species